rnacentral:rRNA from 1 species
UACAGAGGGGGCAAGCGUUGUUCGGAAUUACUGGGCGUAAAGCGUGUGUAGGUGGCUUGACAAGUCGGUUGUGAAAUCCCCGGGCUCAACCUGGGAAUUGCUUCCGAGACUGUCAGGCUAGAGAUCGGUAGAGGGCGGUGGAAUUUCCGGUGUAGCGGUGAAAUGCGUAGAUAUCGGAAGGAACACCAAUGGCGAAGGCAGCCGCCUGGGCCUGAUCUGACACUGAGAGACGAAAGCUAGGGGAGCGAAUGGG